rnacentral:lncRNA from 1 species
CUCAAGAUUUAUGUUGGAUGGUGGUCGACAUCAUCCAAGGAGUUUUUUAAAACACGGUUCUCUUUUCUAGCUGACUGUGAUUCCCACCUUCUGCUCCUCCUCUUGUAGAGAACUUCUAUGCACCAAUCCUUCCCAUGGCCCCUAGUAAGGAAAAGGUCACAGGAGGCUACAGAAAACAACAGCCAGCUCUGCUGGGGACCACACCGAGUCACCAGCACUUCACAGACACCUCAACACAAGUCAGCCUGAAAGGAGCCAACAAUGAGCAACACAGGCAAUUUUUCUCUUUAGGGUUUCUUGCUGCCGGUGUGAAUAACAGGAGGAAGCUGCAAUUCAACUUGCGGUGCUCAGAGAUAAGGGAAGGAUUUUUAUUUUACUUUUUUUUUUUUUUUUUUUUUUUUUUUUUUUUUUUUUUUUUUUUUUUUUUUUUGAAUGAGAGUGGCUGAAAAGUCUGUAUUGAGUAGAGAUUGAGGAGCUGUAGCCAUGGGAACCAGGCUGAUGCUGGUGUCUUUGUCUAAAGGAAUC